rnacentral:rRNA from 1 species
UACGAAGGGGGCUAGCGUUGCUCGGAAUCACUGGGCGUAAAGCGCACGUAGGCGGCUUUCUACGUCAGGGGUGAAAUCCUGGAGCUCAACUCCAGAACUGCCUUUGAUACUGGAGAGCUAGAGUCCGGAAGAGGUGAGUGGAACUGCGAGUGUAGAGGUGAAAUUCGUAGAUAUUCGCAAGAACACCAGUGGCGAAGGCGGCUCACUGGUCCGGUACUGACGCUGAGGUGCGAAAGCGUGGGGAGCAAACAGG